rnacentral:lncRNA from 1 species
AGCCCCCCAUUACCCCUCUCAUUCCAUCUCUAUUCUCUCUCAAAGCAAACCCUAGCCGCCCCUUUAUUCCCUCGCUGCUCCGCGGGAAUCGCCUCACGGUGGUUCCGGCACUUCAAUCCACCCCAAAUCAACACCCCAGAUUCCCUUUCACCUCCUCUUUAUGAAUCUCUUAACCAGUUUCCCCUAAUCCCUGUUAAAUUUCUCGAAUCUUAGAUCAAAAUCUUGGCAAAAACCUCAACUGCUCCAAACAUAACCAAAUUGCUACCCCAUACUCCUCACCUCACCCUCUUCAUCAUUCCACCAUCAACUUGACCCAAAACCCCACCAAAUUCCCCUAAAUCUGGAGCUAGAAAGUUGAGCAGAAGACCUUAACCUACUCAGCUUCAAGGCUCAAAUUAGCCUGAAAUGCACGCUAGUCAGUUGUUCUCAAGAACAACUGAUUAACAUCAAUUUUGGGUCAUUUCGGAGAGAAUUUGACCCCUGCAUCAAUCCAGUGCCGCUUGAAGACCUUUUUUCGAUUUUUCUUUUCUUUUUAGGUAAAUCUCUUUGCCUUCUUGCUUUCUUUUUCCUUUACUAAGAGUCAUCUUCAUCUCCUUUCUUUAUGUUCAGUUACAUGUUUUAGGUUUAUUUUGUUUCCUUGCCAGAAUUGUGUUUGUUCUUCAAUGUUAGAAGCCGUCCCCUUUUCAAUUCUUGAACUUGCUUAAAAAAUCAAUUUCUUAGGGGUUAAAUUAACCCGAUUUCAAUUAGUGACUCAUGUAGUUUAAAUCUUGAAAUAACCUUAUUUUUGCUAUUGAUUAGUUGUUAAUUUCUUUCUUUUUAUUUGUUGUGCUAUUUGUUUGGAAUCAUCUUCUAGUAUACUGAAAUUGUAUGCUUAGUUUAUAUAUAUAUAUAUAGUUGUUUAAUGCAUAAUAUGCUUAGGUUCAGUGUUAUUCAAUUUGUUUUGUUCGUUUGUUUAAACCCGUCUGCCUAUGCUCAUUUUAAAAUUGCUAAUCUGAAAAGCAUUGUGAAGUUAGGUUUAUGUUUUAAUUUGCUUAAGUCAGCCUUGUUGGUUGUUCUGAUUCAAUUACUGAUUUUAGCCGAAUUUGUUUCUGUUUGCCUUAGUGUGUAGAUCAAUAGAAACUUUAUGGACUCAAUUGAACCUAAAAGUUUAGGAUAGAACAGAAAUAGGCAGUAACCUAAAGGUUAAAAUUGGAUUUUUUGCAUAGGCUAAAAAAUCAAAAAUGUACAGCUGUCCUAGCUGUUAUAUAAGAUGCUGAAAUAUAGGACAGUUGUACCAAGGGCUGUAAAAAGGAUAUUACUAUUUAUUCCUUAGGAUAAGGAAUAUACCCAAGAUAUACCCUCCCUAGGCAGCCUAUAUAUAGGUAGGUCCUGUCAUUCUGAUUUUUGGACCCAAAUUCAGCCUUAUUCUCUUCACAAAAAUCUCUGAAAACACAAUCAGAUUUUUUAGAACCCUAAGAAUAUAGACAAUCAUUAGCAUUUUCUAUAGUCAAAUGUUUUUGAAAACACUAAGAAAAUUCCUUAAAAGUUCUUUGAAAGUUUCAGUUUUUCUGGUUAUAUUCUUAAGCUGGUACUGUGAUAUUGAAGACAUUUUGGGUGUUAGAUUCUGGGAUUUUUCUGUUUUCGCAAGUCAAAAAAUGGUUUGAAUGUGGAGCUGGUAUUUGCUGUUAUAUACUGCUAGCUAUAUUAGCUGAAGUUCUUUGCUGAUUUUUACUGCCCCUCAGAGAUUUUUCUCAUUUUACUCUUUGUUGUACCCAGGUACUUCUGGAACCCUUGAAUGAUAAAGAUGAAGUUAUAAAUUUGUGGUGUUAAAAUAAAUGUCCAAGAGUGUUCAGUUCCAGUUUUUUCUUGUUUGUCUGCCUAUGAUAUCUUAUAUCUUUCUUGGAUGUACAGUUUUCUUUCCCCAUAUUUAAGAAUCUUGGAUCUGUUGUUGUAAUAUAUAGUGUACGGAUGUUCAACUUAGUUCAUUGUGAGAGUAUGUUAUUCAAAUGUUAUACAUGUUCAAAAGUGAAUAGUUAAUUGUAGAAAAGAUUUAUCUCACUGUCAGAAUGCUAGCAUAGUUAAAAUAACUAUACAUUCGAAAUUAGGAUGAUUAGUAAGCUAUUCAAUGAUAAUUUAGCAUUGUUAUAACAUGAUGGUGAAAUAAGACUCAUAGCAGGUUUGCCCAUGUAUGUUGAUUUUCUAGAAUUGUUAUAAUGUUG